AAAGAGUAAUGGAUGAAUAAUAGAUGUACUAAUUUAAUACGUGAGCAGAUGGAUAUCAUUACAGCUGAAAGGACAUCAAUUCAAAAGCUAUGAAAACACAAGGUACUUAGUUUAAAAGGAAAGAACGCUUAGAAGCUAUCGCAUUUACGGAACAAACAGUAGCACCUAUGAUUAUUGUGACACGGUAGGCUUCUGACAUGUUCUACUUCUAAAGAUUAGCUUCCUCUUCCCCGUGGCUCUUUUAAAGGAAAAGACUCUUUAGCGGCACAUCUACAUAUAGUUAAACAAAUAUUGUAUCAUUGGUCUGAACAUUCAACCAUUCUUUAAUUUGCUGCAAUAAAAUCGAGCUGACCUUUUCUUUUGCUUGGCCCAUGGGUGGAUCGUCAACUGCUUGCCUUUUUGUUUUUGGUUCCAAUGACACACCCUCAUACAGUAGUCAGGAGAUGGUGGAGCCAGCAGCACAUUCUUGACAGUUGUGUUGCCUGGUGUUGGGUGGAACACGAAGACCGUGGAACCAGGGGCGG
rnacentral:lncRNA from 1 species